GGGGCACAUCCAGACGAUGGAUGGAUAGACACCCGAUUCCUUUGCCUGAGCCUGCGUGGGACAUGUACUCAGGUUAUAGCACCCGAAGGAGAAAAGAUCAUGAAUCCAGCUCAAGCAAAGCAAUGCAGAUGAUGCAUUUCUCCUGGCAGGGGAAAAUUCUUUCUCUGAGGUUGUAUAAGAUAUACUUUGGAAAAUGCACUAGCAGAAACAAAAGAAUUUGUACAUGAAGACAGUGUAUUGUUUUUAAGCAGUGUUCACUGAAGUGAUAAUAUUAUAAAGAAAAGUUUUUUAAAAUUAUGCAUAGUAGAAGAAAUAAAAUCUUCUGUUGUCUAAUAUUGAGAGCUUACAAGUGAUAGUAUUUUGAGUGUGGCAAGUCUUCUGAAAAAAAUGGAAACCUUACUAUAUAGUUAUGUAUGAAGAUUAGAGUGGAUUUUUGAGUCCUGUUUCAUUUUAUCCAUAAAACAUGGCAUCAUGACCAAGCUCCUCUGUCUUUAAAAUUAGUUGAAAAUCUAAUAUGCAUUCAUGUGCUGCAAUGGAUAUGGACUCUUCUACUUUUGGGGAAGUAUACUGCUUUUCAUUCUUGUCUGUUAUCAAUAUUUAUGUACCAGCUUGUUUUCUAGAAAGUAGUGCAAUUAAUGUAUCAGUAAUAAUGUAAGAGAAAGUCUAUUUUUUGUGCCAUUGCUAACUUUGGAGUUGAAUAACUUUUUAAAAUUUGUAAAUCAGCUAGAUAAAUAAAAGAGGACUUCUCUUUAUUACUUUGCUC
rnacentral:lncRNA from 1 species